UAUAUUUUAGUAUAAAAGUACAAAAAUUUUUGAAAUUUUAGGAAAUAAUUUAUUUUAUUAAAUAUAA
rnacentral:tRNA from 1 species